rnacentral:rRNA from 1 species
GGCGAACGCUGGCGGCGCGCCUAACACAUGCUAGUCGAACGAGCGAGAGAGAGCUUGCUUUCUCGAGCGAGUGGCGAACGGGUGAGUAACGCGUGAGGAACCUGCCUCAAAGAGGGGGACAACAGUUGGAAACGACUGCUAAUACCGCAUAAGCCCACGGUGCCGCAUGGCACAGAGGGAAAAGGAGCAAUCCGCUUUGAGAUGGCCUCGCGUCCGAUUAGCUAGUUGGUGAGGUAACGGCCCACCAAGGCGACGAUCGGUAGCCGGACUGAGAGGUUGAACGGCCACAUUGGGACUGAGACACGGCCCAGACUCCUACGGGAGGCAGCAGUGGGGAAUAUUGCACAAUGGGGGAAACCCUGAUGCAGCGACGCCGCGUGGAGGAAGAAGGUCUUCGGAUUGUAAACUCCUGUUGUUGGGGAAGAUAAUGACGGUACCCAACAAGGAAGUGACGGCUAACUACGUGCCAGCAGCCGCGGUAAAACGUAGGUCACGAGCGUUGUCCGGAAUUACUGGGUGUAAAGGGAGCGCAGGCGGGAAGACAAGUUGGAAGUGAAAUCUAUGGGCUCAACCCAUAAACUGCUUUCAAAACUGUUUUUCUUGAGUAGUGCAGAGGUAGGCGGAAUUCCCGGUGUAGCGGUGGAAUGCGUAGAUAUCGGGAGGAACACCAGUGGCGAAGGCGGCCUACUGGGCACCAACUGACGCUGAGGCUCGAAAGUGUGGGUAGCAAAUAGGAUUCGAUACCCUGGGUAGUCCACCCCCGUAAACGAUGAAUACUUGGGUGUUGGAGGGAUUGACCCCUUCCAGUGCCGCAGUUAACACAAUAAGUAUUCCACCUGGGGAGUACGACCGCAAGGUGGAAACUCAAAGGAAUUGACGGGGGCCCGCGCAAGCAGUGGAGUAUGUGGUUUAAUUGGACGCAACGCGAAGAACCUUACCAAGUCUUGACAUCCCUUGACAGGCAUAGAAAUAUGUUUUCUCUUCGGAGCAAGGAGACAGGUGGUGCAUGGUUGUCGUCAGCUCGUGUCGCGAGAUGUUGGGUUAAGUCCCGCAACGAGCGCAACCCUUAUGGUCAGUUACUACGUAAGAGGACUCUGGCCAGACUGCCGUUGACAUAACGGAGGAAGGCGGGGAUGACGUCAAAUCAUCAUGCCCUUUAUGACUUGGGCUACACACGUACUACAAUGGCGUUAAACAAAGAGAAGCAAGACCGCGAGGCGGAGCAAAACUCAGAAACAACGUCCCAGCUCGGACUGCAGGCUGCAACUCGCCUGCACGAAGUCGGAAUUGCUAGUAAUCGUGGAUCAGCAUGCCACGGUGAAUACGUUCCCGGGCCUUGCACA